rnacentral:pre_miRNA from 14 species
AUUCACAUAGAAUUUCUGUCAGUCAGGCUCCUGGCAGGAGUCCAGCUCUCAGCUGGUUCCAGGCUCUAGCCAGGGGCUUGACUGCAAGCUGCUCAUC